AGUGAGCGGCAAAAGCUCAAUUUGAAAUCUGGCGUCUUCGCACGCUCCGAGUUGUAAUUUGAAGAAGGCGACUUUGUAGCUGGUCCUUGUCUAUGUUCCUUGGAACAGGACGUCAUAGAGGGUGAGAAUCCCGUGUGGCGAGGAUCCCAGUUAUUUGUAAAGUGCUUUCGACGAGUCGAGUUGUUUGGG
rnacentral:rRNA from 1 species